UUCGGUUCGGAUAAUUGUGGUUACUAACGGUUCGGUUCGGUUAGUGAAUUGUUAUCAAAAUAAUAGUUCGAUUCGAAA
rnacentral:pre_miRNA from 1 species